CCAUAGCUCAGUGGUUAGAGCAGUCGUCUUAUAAGCGACAGGUCCUUGGUUCGAAUCCAAGUG
rnacentral:tRNA from 1 species